UGAAGCACUUUAAAAAAAAUGUUCAUCAGAAGAAGGGAGUGGGGGAGACAAAGACCAUUUUCUGAUAAUCCAUUUCUUCACGGCCAGGGAAAAUGUAGAAGAAGGAAGCAUAAGAGAUUCUUUGUAGUUAAUUUGAAAGGCAGCAUCUGGCAGAGGAAAUGUUCCCUGGAGUGGAUGAUGUCUGCUUGCAACACAUCUGUACCCAUGCAUCCUGAAUGACUGACUCAAAACUUCUGAAUGUACCUCAUGUUCCCCAAAUGACACGGUCAGGUCAACUGGAGGACAAAUGAGAGAAACCAAUGACACAGAACAUUCAACUCCUGGGACAGUGCAAGGACUAUGUAAGACCCACAGAGUCCUGCUGAUUCGACAUGGAAAAAAUUGAAGGGUGUGAGCUGUGUAUGAAGUUGGCUGUUUAGCAGUAGGGAAAGACUACAUUGAGUUAUCCAUAUUCUCUCCCUUAGACUCCCUUCUGACCAGUGGAACAUAUCGGUGACUUGAAAAUUAGUAAGAUAUCUAUGAUGGGUUACUAAAUUGAGAGAUAAGGGAUCACAGGACCUAAAGUUGGAAGAGCACUAACUCACCUAAUCCAGCCCCAUAAAUUUAUAGGCACAUAUGCUUCCAUCAAAUGAAUGCCCCUCUCCUUUGGUUGCAUCCUGGAUUG